rnacentral:rRNA from 1 species
AGCGAACGUUUGCGGCGGGCCUAACACAUGCAAGUCGAACGGGCUAGCAAUAGUCAGUGGCGCACGGGUGCGUAACACGUGGGUAAUCAACCCUUCAGCUCGGGAUAACGCCUUGAAAGGGGCGCUAAUACCGGAUGCGACGCGAGGAGCCUCGGCGCUUCGCGGGAAAGAUUCGCAAGGAUCACUGAAGGACGAGCCUGCGGCCCAUCAGCUAGUUGGUGAGGUAAGAGCUCACCAAGGCGAAGACGGGUAGCUGGUCUGAGAGGAUGAUCAGCCACACUGGAACUGAGACACGGUCCAGACUCCUACGGGAGGCAGCAGUGGGGAAUAUUGCGCAAUGGGCGAAAGCCUGACGCAGCCACGCCGCGUGAGCGAUGAAGG